rnacentral:lncRNA from 1 species
ACGUUCGACCUUCUCGAACAUGCCUCGGCGUUGAACAUUCAAGUAAGCGCCUCGGCACUGAUCUUUAAACAUGCCUCAGCAUCUAUUUUCAAGCAAAUGACUCGGCAUUAUUCUUCUUGAAAACACUUCAGCUCUAACCACUGGACAAACACCUUGGUCUUAUCUAGUCCACCGGGCUGACCUUAUCUUUCGACACAGCUCGCUGUGAACGAGGCAAAGCCGUUCAUCGUCCAUG